UUCAAAGUUAUAAAAUAUUUUUAAUAAAAUUAGAUAAUAUUUCUUUCUUUACUUCGUUUUUUUUUAAUAAUUUUUUUAAACGUAUUUCAUAAUCUUUAGUAUUAUUUCAAGUGAAGUUAAAAUCAUAAAAAAUUUACUAUUAAAACUUUUUAGGCCUCAAAAUUUUGGAAUCUGAACCAAACGCUUUACUAGCCUUACCCUUAAGCCACCCCGACGUCACAUCUGAAUUUUUAUAAUGUAUUUUCUGAUGAGAGGCAACAAGCACAAGAAUAAGCGGAUUCAACAUGUUGCGUCACUACUGCAAGGGAAGUCUUAUUACAUAUGACCAAUGUGGCUCCGAACUCCGCACAUAGCAGAAUAGUGCAUUGAAUUGAAUUUGAUGCAGAAUGAAAGUGGCUAAGCAAGAUAGUACAAGGAGCUAUAUGAGAGUAAUACUGGAGCUGUCAUUAUUAGUUAGUUAUUAAGUUAUCAAGUUUACAUUUUAUCUCAUUAAGUAUGGUAAAAAAAACUUUAGUUAAUUACACUCAAGUACUGAAAGUAUCUUGCUUUGAGCUGAUUCAGUCCAUGAGAGAGUUAAAAAUGUAGUACAAUAGGGGUGGCUCAGCAAGAGGUGUGAUCCUGUAUAAUGUGCUGAUACAAUUGUAUUGAAUAAUUAAUGAAAUCUUUCCUUAGUCAUACUUAGAAUAACUUUUUCUCUUCCUUAAGUUUCUCUGCUUUUCAUGAGUGUUUGCACAGUUUUAUUGGUUACUGUUUCAUGUCUCAUUAUGACCUUGGUAUAUUAUUCUCUAUCUUGAGCGGAGGGUCUAUUGGAAACAACCUCCCUACUUCCUCGGAAAUAGUGGUAUGGACUGCCGACAUUUUACCCUCCCUAGACCUCACUUUGUGGGAAUAUACUGAGUCUGUUGUUGUUGUUGUAUUAGUUACUGUUCCAUUAAAGUUGCAUCAUUUGGUAUCAAAACAUCAUCUUGGGCUUUGUGGGUAUUGACAAGGCAACUGAUAUGAGUGAGAUUAAGUCAAUAUGAGAGAGGGCCACUUGGAGACGGCUAAUUUCUUUGUAAGACAAUCUCAGGUGGAAGAACAACAUGAGAAAUUAGUUGCAGCUUUAGGGAAACCUUGGAAGGAUAAAAAAAGGUUCGAUAGGGGAAAGAGGGUUGAUAAACUCGAUGGAGCGUGGAGAGAUAUACACCCCGUUAAGGAACCCUAUGGCUUGGAUGAACCAGAAUUACGGAGGACAACAGUAUCCUGCAGGAUCUCAUCUCGAAGUGGGUUCUACCCCUCAAUUUCAAAAUACUGUGGACAUAACUACACCUCGCAAAGGUUGCAUCAAGGGCCUAGUGUCACAGGGCAACAAUGAGGGAUUUAUUUUGGAUCAUCACCUGAGAACGUCUUUGGAAGUCAAGCAAUAACAAGGUUUACCAAGAUGAAAUUUUCCAAGUUUAACGGAUCUAACCUCAAAACGUGGUUGUGCAAGGUGAAGCAACACUUUUCUAUGGAUAAGUUACCGUAUGUUCAGAAGGUUAAGGUAGCCUCUAUUCACUAUGAUAAUAUUGCUAUUGAAUGACACCUAACUUGUUUAAAAAGUAGAGCUCAUUUACCGUAUUCUGCUUGGGAAGAGUAUGUAUAUGCAUUGAUGGAUAAAUUUGGAACUGAGUACUCAGAUCCUAUAGCUGAGCUGAAGGUGGGAACACCGUUAAAGAUACAACUACUUGGUGGAGCUGCAUUUAUGACCAGGCACGAACUUCCCAUCACAAAAGAGUCAAAACCCUUUCUGCCUUUUCUCAGUCAUUUCAGCAGGGGUAAGCCUCUUAGAUGAUCUCUUGUUUAAGCUCACAGAUGGGUCCCUCUUAACUGGCUGCACAUCUUUUUUACUGCUCAAUCCUUUAGAGAAUGAGCUAUAGGAUCCACCUUUGGUCUGAGAGACCCCAUUACCAUACUCAACUGACCUAGUCAAUUUCAACUGAGCAUUAACUUGAGCUUCAGUGUUCUUGGACAAUUGGUAAGCUUGUGGUAGUGAGUAUGGUCUAUGGUUCUUAACUGUAUAACCAAUUUCAGGUUUUAAUCCGGUAAUAUUUAAUUUAAUCCAAUGCCAGUUGCUCCAUGAUCUAAUGCCUAUUGCAAUGAAUUCAUUAACUUUUUAAAGAAAAUACUAUAAGUUCAAACCUACUUUGAUAAA